rnacentral:misc_RNA from 1 species
GGAAAACCUUUACACGAGUUGAACAAUGAGAGAGCUAAAAGAGAAUUUAAGUGUUACACAAAUUCUUUCUUUCAUGGCUAGGGACUUCUUUAAGACAAACCUUCUUUCUAGUUGAAGUACAAGUUACUAUAAAGUAGAAUAAAUACAAAAAGCAUUGUUCAGAAGGGAAUGCUGGAUCAACAAAUUUGGUAAUUUAGUAGCUUGUUCCUCUACCACCUGAGUGUGUCAUAAAUCUGCACCCCACACGCCAUCUUCUUCUUCUGUUCAACUACGCCAUGCAGAGGAUGCUUCUAAAUCAAUAUCUUCUUCCCACCAGGUCGCAGUCUUGUAUCCUCUUCUGAGAAAUUCAAGUGAGCUUCCUUUCUCUUCUUGCAAUCCGAGGACUCUCAAUAGUUCUUCCUUGGUUUCGUUAAGAGUGAAGCGAGUUGCGCUUUCUGCCACACAAACAAAAGAACCAUCUGUCUGUUUCAGCAUCACCUGCCAAGGCCCAGGAUACUGACGGAAGAGAGCUCCAUUGUAGUUCACAAUAUAAGGUUCCACUGCAACUGUCUUUGAGUACUCUCUUGUUCGAAUAUAAAAGACGGGGGUGAAUUGAGAAAGAAACUGAUAAUGCAAUUCCCUUGGUGGAAAACCUAUAAUUCCCAGGUCAGCACGCAAGGUGUCAAGUUCGAGAUUGAAAAGGAGGCUUGGGGUUGACGUAGCAAAUUUUCCCACAUACUUCUCAAUGUACGAAAGGUCACGAGUGCUGCAGUUGAUAAAUAUAUAAAGUGUAGGAGGCUGGUCAGACUUCCAACGACCUUCAUUCUCAUCCUCAAAAUCAAAAUCCAGUGUAUUCCUCACAGAUCUGAAGAAUGAGGUCACAGCACCCCCAGGAAUAUCAUCCAAGGAUCCAAUGGUAAUGUCAUCUAUCG